rnacentral:misc_RNA from 1 species
GUGAAUCAUCAAAUCUUUGAACGCAAAUUGCACUCUCUUCUGGUAGUAUGCCUGUUUGAGUUUGAGCCUAAAAAAAAUCGACAUAGUCGCUGUUGUCGCGGUGACAUUCGUCGGAAAGGGGGUCAGCUUAAACCUUUGGGUUUUAAGCGGCUUAAAAUUUUCUUGACGAUUGCCACGGACGUUUCUAAUAUUGACUGCUUACACACG